rnacentral:rRNA from 1 species
UACGGGGGGGAGCAAGCGUUGUUCGGAUUUACUGGGCGUAAAGGGCGCGUAGGCGGUCGUGACAAGUCACUUGUGAAAUCUCCGGGCUUAACUCGGAACGGUCAAGUGAUACUGUCGGACUAGAGUACAGAAGGGGCAACUGGAAUUCUCGGUGUAGCGGUGAAAUGCGUAGAUAUCGAGAGGAACACCGGUGGCGAAGGCGGCGAUCUGGACGAUGACUGACGUGAGACGCGAAAGCGUGGGGGAGCAAACAGG